rnacentral:rRNA from 1 species
GAAUGCUGACAUAAGUAACGAUAAAGCGGGUGAAAAGCCCGCUCGCCGGAAGACCAAGGGUUCCUGUCCAACGUUAAUCGGGGCAGGGUGAGUCGACCCCUAAGGCGAGGCCGAAAGGCGUAGUCGAUGGGAAACGGGUUAAUAUUCCCGUACUUGGUGUUACUGCGAAGGGGGGACGGAGAAGGCUAUGUUGGCCGGGCGACGGUUGUCCCGGUUUAAGCGUGUAGGUGUGUGUUCCAGGUAAAUCCGGUUCACUUUAACACUGAGGCGUGACGACGAGGCACUACGGUGCUGAAGCAACAAAUGCCCUGCUUCCAGGAAAAGCCUCUAAGCAUCAGGUAACAUCAAAUCGUACCCCAAACCGACACAGGUGGUCAGGUAGAGAAUACCAAGGCGCUUGAGAGAACUCGGGUGAAGGAACUAGGCAAAAUGGUGCCGUAACUUCGGGAGAAGGCACGCUGACACGUAGGUGAAGUGAUUUACUCAUGGAGCUGAAGUCAGUCGAAGAUACCAGCUGGCUGCAACUGUUUAUUAAAAACACAGCACUGUGCAAACACGAAAGUGGACGUAUACGGUGUGACGCCUGCCCGGUGCCGGAAGGUUAAUUGAUGGGGUCAGCGCAAGCGAAGCUCCUGAUCGAAGCCCCGGUAAACGGCGGCCGUAACUAUAACGGUCCUAAGGUAGCGAAAUUCCUUGUCGGGUAAGUUCCGACCUGCACGAAUGGCGUAAUGAUGGCCAGGCUGUCUCCACCCGAGACUCAGUGAAAUUGAACUCGCUGUGAAGAUGCAGUGUACCCGCGGCAAGACGGAAAGACCCCGUGAACCUUUACUAUAGCUUGACACUGAACAUUGAGCCUUGAUGUGUAGGAUAGGUGGGAGGCUUUGAAGCGUGGACGCCA